rnacentral:rRNA from 1 species
AACGAACGCUGGCGGCAUGCCUAACACAUGCAAGUCGAACGAGACCUUCGGGUCUAGUGGCGCACGGGUGCGUAACGCGUGGGAACCUGCCCUUAGGUUCGGAAUAACUCCCCGAAAGGGGUGCUAAUACCGGAUAAUGUCUUCGGACCAAAGGUUUAUCGCCUUUGGAUGGGCCCGCGUUGGAUUAGUUAGUUGGUAGGGUAAAAGCCUACCAAGGCGACGUUCCAUAGCUGGUCUGAGAGGAUGAUCAGCCACACUGGGACUGGGACACGGCCCAGACUCCUACGGGAGGCAGCAGUGGGGAAUAUUGGACAAUGGGCGAAAGCCUGAUCCAGCAAUGCCGCGUGAGUGAUGAAGGCCUUAGGGUUGUAAAGCUCUUUUACCCGGGAUGAUAAUGACAGUACCGGGAGAAUAAGCUCCGGCUAACUCCGUG